ensembl:snoRNA
AGAACAACAAAAUGGAAUAAAUAUUUUUUAAAAAAGAGGCAUCAUCAAACACAGGUGCUAACAGCAAAGGGUACCUCGUUGCCUUUGGAGGACUUGUUGUGCCCAUCAAAGUGAACUUAGAGGUUCUACACAC